rnacentral:rRNA from 1 species
UACGGGGGGAGCAAGCGUUGUUCGGAUUUACUGGGCGUAAAGGGCGCGUAGGCGGCGCCGCAAGUCGACUGUGAAAUCUCCGGGCUUAACUCGGAAAGGUCAGCCGAUACUGCGGGGCUAGAGUGCAGAAGGGGCAACUGGAAUUCUCGGUGUAGCGGUGAAAUGCGUAGAUAUCGAGAGGAACACCUGCGGCGAAGGCGGGUUGCUGGGCUGACACUGACGCUGAUGCGCGAAAGCUAGGGGAGCGAACGGG